rnacentral:piRNA from 1 species
UGCCGAUGCCAGUUCAGGAAGAACGUUUCGUU